rnacentral:rRNA from 1 species
UUCCAGACUCCUACGGGAGGCAGCAGUGAGGAAUAUUGGUCAAUGGGCUUACGCCUGAACCAGCCAAGUCGCGUGAGGGAAGACUGCCCUAUGGGUUGUAAACCUCUUUUGUCAGGGAGCAAUUGGCGCUACGUGUAGCGUUAUCGAGAGUACCUGAAGAAAAAGCAUCGGCUAACUCCGUGCCAGCAGCCGCGGUAAUACGGAGGAUGCGAGCGUUAUCCGGAUUUAUUGGGUUUAAAGGGUGCGCAGGCGGCACGGCAAGCCGGCGGUCAAAUCGCGGGGCUCAACCCCGCCCAGCCGUCGGAACUGCCGGGCUAGAGUGGGCGAGAAGUGCGCGGAAUGCGUGGUGUAGCGGUGAAAUGCAUAGAUAUCACGCAGAACCCCGAUUGCGAAGGCAGCCUUCCGGCGCCCUACUGACGCUGAGGCACGAAAGUGCGGGGAUCGAACAGGAUUAGAUACCCGAGUA